AGUGAACGCUGGCGGCAGGCCUAACACAUGCAAGUCGAGCGGCAGCGCGGGGGCAACCCUGGCGGCGAGCGGCGGACGGGUGAGGAAUGCGUCGGAAUCUGCCUCUUUGUGGGGGAUAACGUAGGGAAACUUACGCUAAUACCGCAUACGACCUACGGGUGAAAGUGGGGGACCUUCGGGCCUCACGCAGAGAGAUGAGCCGAUGCCGGAUUAGCUAGUUGGCGGGGUAAAGGCCCACCAAGGCGACGAUCCGUAGCUGGUCUGAGAGGAUGAGAAGCCACAGUGGAACUGAGACACGGUCCAGACUCCUACGGGAGGCAGCAGUGGGGAAUAUUGGACAAUGGGCGCAAGCCUGAUCCAGCCAUGCCGCGUGUGUGAAGAAGGCCUUCGGGUUGUAAAGCACUUUUGUCCGGAAAGAAAAGCUUCCGAUUAAUACUCGGGAGUCAUGACGGUACCGGAAGAAUAAGCACCGGCUAACUUCGUGCCAGCAGCCGCCGUAAAAC
rnacentral:rRNA from 1 species